rnacentral:rRNA from 1 species
GGGUAGGGGAGCGUUCUGUAAGCCUGUGAAGGUGUGCUGUGAGGCAUGCUGGAGGUAUCAGAAGUGCGAAUGCUGACAUAAGUAACGAUAAAGCGGGUGAAAAGCCCGCUCGCCGGAAGACCAAGGGUUCCUGUCCAACGUUAAUCGGGGCAGGGUGAGUCGACCCCUAAGGCGAGGCCGAAAGGCGUAGUCGAUGGGAAACAGGUUAAUAUUCCUGUACUUGGUGUUACUGCGAAGGGGGGACGGAGAAGGCUAUGUCGGCCGGGCGACGGUUGUCCCGGUUUAAGCGUGUAGGCUGACUUUCCAGGCAAAUCCGGAAGGUUAAGGCUGAGGCGUGAUGACGAGGCACCACGGUGCUGAAGUGACAAAUGCCCUGCUUCCAGGAAAAGCCUCUAAGCAUCAGGUAACAUCAAAUCGUACCCCAAACCGACACAGGUGGUCAGGUAGAGAAUACCAAGGCGCUUGAGAGAACUCGGGUGAAGGAACUAGGCAAAAUGGUGCCGUAACUUCGGGAGAAGGCACGCUGACAUGUAGGUGAAGCCCCUGCGGGUGGAGCUGAAGUCAGUCGAAGAUACCAGCUGGCUGCAACUGUUUAUUAAAAACACAGCACUGUGCAAACACGAAAGUGGACGUAUACGGUGUGACGCCUGCCCGGUGCCGGAAGGUUAAUUGAUGGGGUUAUCGCAAGAGAAGCUCCUGAUCGAAGCCCCGGUAAACGGCGGCCGUAACUAUAACGGUCCUAAGGUAGCGAAAUUCCUUGUCGGGUAAGUUCCGACCUGCACGAAUGGCGUAAUGAUGGCCAGGCUGUCUCCACCCGAGACUCAGUGAAAUUGAACUCGCUGUGAAGAUGCAGUGUACCCGCGGCAAGACGGAAAGACCCCGUGAACCUUUACUACAGCUUGACACUGAACAUUGAGCCUUGAUGUGUAGGAUAGGUGGGAGGCUUUGAAGCGUGGACGCCAGUCUGCGUGGAGCCGAC